UAUCGGAGGGGUAACCCACUGGUAUGACGGAGCGGCGAACGGGUGAGUAACACGUGAGUAACCUGCCCCACAGACCGGGAUAGCCCAGGGAAACCUGGAUUAAUACCGGAUAUUCUCUUCGAACUUCAUGGUUCAUUGAGGAAAUGCCUUUGUGCUGUGGGAUGGACUCGCGGCUUAUCAGCUAGUUGGUGGGGUAACGGCCUACCAAGGCAUCGACGAGUAGCUGGUCUGAGAGGACGAUCAGCCACACUGGGACUGAGACACGGCCCAGACUCCUACGGGAGGCAGCAGCAGGGAAUCUUGCACAAUGGGCGAAAGCCUGAUGCAGCAACGCCGCGUGUGGGAUGAAUGCCUUCGGGUUGUAAACCACUUUCAGGAGGGAAGAAAUUGACGGUACCUCCAAAAGAAGCCCCGGCCAACUACGUGCCAGCAGCCGCGGUAAUACGUAGGGGGCAAGCGUUAUCCGGAAUCAUUGGGCGUAAAGAGCUCGUAGGCGGUUCAGCAAGUCGGCUGUGAAAGUCCAAGGCUUAACCUUGGAAAUGCAGUCGAUACUGCUGUGACUAGAGUCUGGUAGAGGAGAAUGGAAUUCCCGGUGUAGCGGUGGAAUGCGCAGAUAUCGGGAGGAACACCAGUAGCGAAGGCGGUUCUCUGGGCCUCGACUGACGCUGAGGAGCGAAAGCAUGGGUAGCAAACAGGAUUAGAUACCCUGGUAGUCCAUGCCGUAAACGUUGG
rnacentral:rRNA from 1 species